UACGUAGGGUGCGAGCGUUAAUCGGAAUUACUGGGCGUAAAGCGUGCGCAGGCGGCUUUGCAAGUUAGAGGUGAAAGCCCGGGGCUCAACUCCGGAAUUGCCUUUAAAACUGCAUCGCUAGAAUUGUGGAGAGGUAAGUGGAAUUCCGAGUGUAGAGGUGAAAUUCGUAGAUAUUCGGAAGAACACCAGUGGCGAAGGCGACUUACUGGACACAUAUUGACGCUGAGGUGCGAAAGCGUGGGGAGCAAACAGG
rnacentral:rRNA from 1 species